GCUAAACGCGAAGAACCUUACCAAGGCUUGACAUAUACCGGAAAAGGCUGGAAACAGUCUCCCCGCAAGGCCGGUAUACAGGUGGUGCAUGGUUGUCGUCAGCUCGUGUCGUGAGAUGUUGGGUUAAAGUCCCGCAACGAGCGCAACCCUCGUCGUAUGUUGCCAGCACGUAAUGGUGGGAACUCAUAUGAGACUGCCGGGGUUCAACUCGGAGGAAGGUGGGGAUGAGGUCAAAUCAUCAUGCCCCGUUAUGUCUUGGGCUUCACGCAUGCUACAAUGGCCGGUACAAAGGGCUGCAAUACCGCGAGGUGGAGCGAAUCCCGAAAAACGCCGGUCUCAGUUCGGAUUGAGGUCUGCAACUCGACCCCGAUGAAGUCGGAGUCGCUAGUAAUCGUGAAUCAGCAACGUCACGGUGAAUACGUUCCCGGG
rnacentral:rRNA from 1 species